rnacentral:sRNA from 1 species
AGUAACCUUGGCCAUGGACCAGCCGGCUGGCCUGCAGGUGGACUACGUCUUCCGGGGUGUGGAGCAUGCCGUGCGGGUGAUGGUUUCUGGGCAGGUGCUGGAGCUGGAGGUGGAGGACCGGAUGACGGCUGACCAGUGGCGGGGCGAGUUUGAUGCUGGCUUCAUUGAAGAUUUGACUCACAAGACAGGGAACUUCAAACAGUUCAACAUCUUCUGUCAUAUGCUGGAGUCAGCCCUCACUCAGAGUAGUGAGUCAGUCACCCUGGACCUGCUGACCUACACAGACCUGGAGUCCCUGCGGAACCGCAAGAUGGGGGGCCGCCCAGGCUCCUUGGCCCCCAGAUCGGCCCAGCUCAACUCCAAGCGCUACCUGAUUCUCAUCUACUCCGUGGAGUUUGACAGGAUUCACUACCCGCUGCCCCUCCUAUACCAGGGCAAGCCAGACCCCGUGGUUCUGCAGGGCAUCAUCCGGUCACUGAAGGAGGAACUGGGCCGCCUGCAAGGGCUGGAUGGCCAGAACACUCGGGACACCCGGGAGAAUGAGAUCUGGCACCUGCGGGAGCAGGUGUCGCGCCUGGCGUCCGAGAAGCGGGAGCUGGAGGCGCAGCUGGGCCGAUCGCGCGAGGAGGCGCUGGCCGGGCGCGCGGCGCGCCAGGAGGCCGAGGCGCUGCGCGGGCUGGUGCGCGGGCUGGAGCUGGAGCUACGGCAGGAGCGCGGCCUCGGGCACAGGGUGGCCGGCCGUCGCGGCCAGGACUGCCGCCGUCUGGCCAAGGAGGUGAGCAGCGGGGGCCUAGGGCGGCCAGCGAGGCGCGGACCUCGGCCUCAGCCUGGACCUCCGCGCCUCUCUCC